rnacentral:rRNA from 2 species
AUGCAAGUCGAGCGGACGGAUGGGAGCUUGCUCCCUGAAGUCAGCGGCGGACGGGUGAGUAACACGUGGGCAACCUGCCUGUAAGACUGGGAUAACUCCGGGAAACCGGGGCUAAUACCGGAUAACUCUUUUCCUCACAUGAGGAAAAGCUGAAAGAUGGUUUCGGCUAUCACUUACAGAUGGGCCCGCGGCGCAUUAGCUAGUUGGUGAGGUAACGGCUCACCAAGGCCACGAUGCGUAGCCGACCUGAGAGGGUGAUCGGCCACACUGGGACUGAGACACGGCCCAGACUCCUACGGGAGGCAGCAGUAGGGAAUCUUCCGCAAUGGACGAAAGUCUGACGGAGCAACGCCGCGUGAGUGAUGAAGGUUUUCGGAUCGUAAAACUCUGUUGUCAGGGAAGAACAAGUACCGGAGUAACUGCCGGUACCUUGACGGUACCUGACCAGAAAGCCACGGCUAACUACGUGCCAGCAGCCGCGGUAAUACGUAGGUGGCAAGCGUUGUCCGGAAUUAUUGGGCGUAAAGCGCGCGCAGGCGGUUCCUUAAGUCUGAUGUGAAAGCCCCCGGCUCAACCGGGGAGGGUCAUUGGAAACUGGGGAACUUGAGUGCAGAAGAGAAGAGUGGAAUUCCACGUGUAGCGGUGAAAUGCGUAGAGAUGUGGAGGAACACCAGUGGCGAAGGCGACUCUUUGGUCUGUAACUGACGCUGAGGCGCGA